rnacentral:rRNA from 1 species
UAGGACUACCCGCUGAACUUAAGCAUAUCAAUAAGCCGGAGGAAAGGG